UUUACCCUAAUUAUAUUAGACCCGUGCCCUCUCGUGAUUUUGAAUGCAGCAAAGUGAUCUUUAAAAAGAAAUAUGCUAGUUCCAUCUUUUUCCAGCGUCGCCGUCAUCAAAUUCAAUCUCAUGCGUGAGAUUACAAUCACCCAAAAUUCUACCACUUAUUUCCACCACACCUUGUUCUAUUUUGAUAUCAAGUAAUUUAUGUUCAGACUCAUUCAUAGGACAAUUCUUUCGGUUCGACGCAGAUCCGUUUUUGUGAUGGAUAUUUUGUUUCGGAAGGUGAUUACUCAGCUUUUUGCUGACGUGUGUGUUUAUUUGCUAUGUGUGUUUGCGGCCAUGUCUUUUUCUUAUGGUGGCCCUACGACGAUCCUUUUGGAGUUUGUCCUCUAUGGUGAGCAGUCAAGAUUAAUUGGAGCAGACUGAUCGUGAAAGAUCGCAGUUCAAGAUGAAGGAGCUCAAGUGUUAUUGUUUAGUCUUUUAUGACAGUUUUACACUUUUCCGUUGUAAAUAGACCACCUAGUAAUUGAGUUGUAAUAGUUUAAGUCUUGAAAGCCUUAGCACUUGACAAUGUGGUCAAGUGUGGCGGUGAUACCACCGAUUUAGGUGUAAGCUUCCGCAAUUUUUAUAAAGUCUUUUAUAUUUCUUAUUUA